rnacentral:tRNA from 1 species
GGAGAGAUGGCUCAGCGGUUAAGAGCACUGGCUUCUCUUCCAGAAGUCCUGAGUUCAAUUCUCAGCUACUACA